rnacentral:rRNA from 1 species
AUGAACGCUGGCGGCGUGCUUAACACAUGCAAGUCGAACGGAAAGGCCAGUGCUUGCACUGGUACUCGAGUGGCGAACGGGUGAGUAACACGUGGGUGAUCUGCCCUGUACUUCGGGAUAAGCUUGGGAAACUGGGUCUAAUACCGGAUAGGACAACUUUUUGGAUAUUGUUGUGGAAAGCUUUUGCGGUAUGGGAUGAGCUCGCGGCCUAUCAGCUUGUUGGUGGGGUAAUGGCCUACCAAGGCGUCGACGGGUAGCCGGCCUGAGAGGGUGUACGGCCACAUUGGGACUGAGAUACGGCCCAGACUCCUACGGGAGGCAGCAGUGGGGAAUAUUGCACAAUGGGCGCAAGCCUGAUGCAGCGACGCCGCGUGGGGGAUGAAGGCCUUCGGGUUGUAAACUCCUUUCGCUAGGGACGAAGCGUAAGUGACGGUACCUGGAGAAGAAGCACCGGCUAACUACGUG